AGAGUUUGAUCAUGGCUCAGGAUUAACGCUAGCGGCAGGCCUAAUACAUGCAAGUCGAACGGUAACAGGUGUAGCAAUACAUGCUGACGAGUGGCGUACGGGUGCGUAACACGUUUGCAACUUACCCAUAACUGGGGGAUAGCUCUCCGAAAGGAGAAUUAAUACCCCAUAACACAAUGAAGAGGCAUCUCUUUAUUGUUAAACCUACGGGGAUUACGGAUAGGCAUGCGUCCCAUUAGCUAGUUGGCGGGGUAACAGCCCACCAAGGCUACGAUGGGUAGGGGAUCUGAGAGGACUAACCCCCACACUGGUACUGAGACACGGACCAGACUCCUACGGGAGGCAGCAGUAAGGAAUAUUGGACAAUGGAGGCAACUCUGAUCCAGCCAUGGCCGCGUGAAGGAUGAAGGUCCUAUGGAUUGUAAACUUCUUUUGAACGGGAGAAAACCCUCGGUCGUGUACCGAGGCUGAUAGUACCGUUAGAAUAAGGGUCGGCUAACUUCGUGCCAGCAGCCGCGGUAAUACGAAGGACCCGAGCGUUAUCCGGAUUUACUGGGUUUAAAGGGUGCGUAGGCGGAACGGUAAGUCAGUGGUGAAAGCCUGUUGCUUAACAACAGAACUGCCAUUGAUACUGCCGAUCUUGAGUACAUAUGAUGUGGGCGGAAUGUGCCAUGUAGCGGUGAAAUGCUUAGAUAUGGCACAGAACACCGAUUGCGAAGGCAGCUCACAAAACUGUAACUGACGCUGAGGCACGAAAGCGUGGGGAUCAAACAGGAUUAGAUACCCUGGUAGUCCACGCUGUAAACUAUGAUUACUCGAUGUGAGCGAUACACAGUACGCGUCCAAGCGAAAGCGUUAAGUAAUCCACCUGGGGAGUACGAUCGCAAGAUUGAAACUCAAAGGAAUUGACGGGGGCCCGCACAAGCGGAGGAGCAUGUGGUUUAAUUCGAUGAUACGCGAGGAACCUUACCUGGGCUUGAAAGUUAGUGAAUGAUCUGGAAACAGGUCAGACCGCAAGGACACGAAACUAGGUGCUGCAUGGCUGUCGUCAGCUCGUGCCGUGAGGUGUUGGGUUAAGUCCCGCAACGAGCGCAACCCCUACCAUUAGUUGCCAGCGAGUAAUGUCGGGGACUCUAAUGGAACUGCCCGCGUAAGCGGUGAGGAAGGUGGGGAUGACGUCAAGUCAGCACGGCCCUUACGUCCAGGGCUACACACGUGCUACAAUGGCCAGUACAAAGGGCAGCUACGCGGUAACGCGAUGCAAAUCUCUAAAACUGGUCUCAGUUCGGAUUGAAGUCUGCAAUUCGACUUCAUGAAGCUGGAUUCGCUAGUAAUCGAAUAUCAGCAAUGAUUCGGUGAAUACGUUCCCGGGCCUUGUACACACCGCCCGUCAAACAAUGGAAGUUGAGGGUACUUAAAGUCGAUUGCCGCAAGGCGUUGCCUAGGGUAAAAUCAAUAACUGGUGUUAAGUCGUAACAAGGUA
rnacentral:rRNA from 1 species